CUAGUAACGGCGAGUGAAGCGGGAAGAGCUCAAAUUUGAAAUCUGGCGGUCUCUGGCCGUCCGAGUUGUAGUCUAGAGAGGCAUUUUCUGUGUCGGACCGUGUACAAGUCCCCUGGAACGGGGCGUCGUAGAGGGUGAGAAUCCCGUACUUGACACGGACUCCCGAUGCUCUGUGAUGUGCCUUCGAAGAGUCGAGUUGUUUGGGAAUGCAGCUCAAAACGGGUGGUAAAUUCCAUCUAAAGCUAAAUACCGGCGAGAGACCGAUAGCGAACAAGUACCGUGAGGGAAAGAUGAAAAGCACUUUGGAAAGAGAGUUAAACAGUACGUGAAAUUGUUGAAAGGGAAACGCUUGGAGUCAGUCRCGUCGGCUUGGAUUCAGCCUCGCCUCGGUGGGGUUCACUUCCAAGUCGGUGGGCCAGCAUCGAUUUUGCCCGGUGGAUAAAGGCUUGGGGAAUGUGGCACCGUUCGCGGUGUGUUUAUAGCCCCUCGUUCGUAUGCAUCGGUUGGGAUCGAGGACCGCAGCGCACCUGCAAAGGUCGGGGGGUAACACCUCACGUUAUUGCGCUUAGGAUGCUGGCGUAAUGGCUUCAAACGA
rnacentral:rRNA from 1 species